rnacentral:rRNA from 1 species
GACGAACGCUGGCGGCGUGCCUAAUACAUGCAAGUUGAGCGCUGAAGGUUGGUACUUGUACCAACUGGAUGAGCAGCGAACGGGUGAGUAACGCGUGGGGAAUCUGCCUUUGAGCGGGGGACAACAUUUGGAAACGAAUGCUAAUACCGCAUAAAAACUUUAAACACAAGUUUUAAGUUUGAAAGAUGCAAUUGCAUCACUCAAAGAUGAUCCCGCGUUGUAUUAGCUAGUUGGUGAGGUAAAGGCUCACCAAGGCGAUGAUACAUAGCCGACCUGAGAGGGUGAUCGGCCACAUUGGGACUGAGACACGGCCCAAACUCCUACGGGAGGCAGCAGUAGGGAAUCUUCGGCAAUGGACGAAAGUCUGACCGAGCAACGCCGCGUGAGUGAAGAAGGUUUUCGGAUCGGAAAACUCUGUUGGUAGAGAAGAACGUUGGUGAGAGUGGAAAGCUCAUCAAGUGACGGUAACUACCCAGAAAGGGACGGCUAGCUACGUG